GAUGAAGAACGCAGCGAAAUGCGAUAAGUAAUGUGAAUUGCAGAAUUCAGUGAAUCAUCGAAUCUUUGAACGCACCUUGCGCCCUUUGGCCAUUCCGAAGGGCAUGCCUGUUUGAGUAUCAUGAACACCUCAACUCUUUAUGGUUUUCCAUGAUGAGCUUGGACUCUGGGGGUUUUGCUGGCUCACAGUCGGCUCCUCUAAAAUGAAUCAGCUUACCAGUGUUUGGUGGGUAUCAUGGGUGUGAUAACUUUCUACGCUUGUGGUUUUUCCACCAGGUAACCUUCAGCAGUGGAGGUUCGCUGGAGCUCAUAGAUGUCUCUCCUCAGUGAGGACAGCCCUUUGAAUGUUUGAUCUCAAAUCAGGUAGGACUACCCGCUGAACUUAAGCAUAUCAAUAAGCGGAGGA
rnacentral:misc_RNA from 1 species